UACAGAGGUCUCAAGCGUUGUUCGGAUUCAUUGGGCGUAAAGGGUGCGUAGGUGGCGCGCUAAGUCAGGUGUGAAAUUUCGGAGCUUAACUCCGAAACUGCAUUCGAUACUGCGGUGCUUGAGGACUGGAGAGGAGACUGGAAUUCAUGGUGUAGCAGUGAAAUGCGUAGAGAUCAUGAGGAAGACCAGUGGCGAAGGCGGGUCUCUGGACAGUUCCUGACACUGAGGCACGAAGGCCAGGGGGAGCAAACGGGG
rnacentral:rRNA from 1 species